rnacentral:rRNA from 1 species
GACGAACGCUGGCGGCGUGCUUAACACAUGCAAGUCGAACGGAAAGGCCCUGCUUUUGUGGGGUGCUCGAGUGGCGAACGGGUGAGUAACACGUGAGUAACCUGCCCUUGACUUUGGGAUAACUUCAGGAAACUGGGGCUAAUACCGGAUAGGAGCUCCUGCUGCAUGGUGGGGGUUGGAAAGUUUCGGCGGUUGGGGAUGGACUCGCGGCUUAUCAGCUUGUUGGUGGGGUAGUGGCUUACCAAGGCUUUGACGGGUAGCCGGCCUGAGAGGGUGACCGGCCAAAUUGGGACUGAGAUACGACCCAGACUCGUAGAGGAGGCAGCAGUGCAGAAUAUUACACAAUGGGCGGAAGCCUGAUGCAGCAACGCCGCGUGCGGGAUGACGGCCUUCGGGUUGUAAACCGCUUUCGCCUGUGACGAAGCGUGAGUGACGGUAAUGGGUAAAGAAGCACCGGCUAACUACGUG